rnacentral:rRNA from 1 species
AAAGGAAUUGACGGGACCCCGCACAAGCGGUGGAUCAUGUUGUUUAAUUCGAAGAUACACGAAAAACCUUACCAGGUCUUGACAUACUCUGCAAAGCUAUAGAGAUAUAGUGGAGGUUAACAGAUGUACAGGUGGUGCAUGGUUGUCGUCAGCUCGUGUCGUGAGAUGUUGGGUUAAGUCCCGCAACGAGCGCAACCCUUAUUGCUAGUUACCAUCAUUAAGUUGGGGACUCUAGCGAGACUGCCAGUGAUAAACUGGAGGAAGGUGGGGAUGACGUCAAAUCAUCAUGCCCCUUAUGACCUGGGCUACAAACGUGAUACAAUGGCUGGAACAAAGAGAAGCGAAGCAGUGAUGUGGAGCCAAACUCAUAAAAACAGUCUCAGUUCGAAUUGGAGUCUGCAACUCGACUCCAUGAAGUCGGAAUCGCUAGUAAUCGCGAAUCAGCAUGUCGCGGUGAAUACGUUCUCGGGGUUUGUACACACCGCCCGU